UACGUAGGGUGCGAGCGUUGUCCGGAAUUAUUGGGCGUAAAGAGCUUGUAGGCGGUUUGUCGCGUCUGCCGUGAAAAUUCGAGGCUCAACCUCGAACUUGCGGUGGGUACGGGCAGACUAGAGUGUGGUAGGGGAGACUGGAAUUCCUGGUGUAGCGGUGAAAUGCGCAGAUAUCAGGAAGAACACCCGUGGCGAAAGCGGCUCUCUGGAACGGUACUGACGCUGAGGAGCGAAAGCGUGGGGAGCGAACAGG
rnacentral:rRNA from 1 species